rnacentral:pre_miRNA from 1 species
GUCGGGGGAGGGGAGCUCAGCCCAGAUUGUAAGAGGGUGCAGGCCAGGCUGAGGGACCCCAUUGGUGCACA